rnacentral:lncRNA from 1 species
UAAGCUUAAAUUUUAUUUUACAAUUUAAUUUGAUUAAAAAUAUAAAGUCUAAUUGUUAAAUUAAUGAUGAUCUUAAAAAGAUAGAGACAAGCUAAAUUUUUUGGUGGAGUUUCCUCUCAUAGUGAUUUUAAUCAGUACUUGAAGUUGAAAAAAAGAAAAAUUGGGAAAAAUCACAAGCAUAUUAAUUCAAGGCCAAUUUGCAAUUAGAUUUUGGAUUUGCCAAGAGUUCAUACUUAAGGGAGUUUAAAUUGAAGAAUGGUGAUUA